GCGCGUGUAGCUCAGCGGUUAGAGCAACCGGCUUAUAUCCGGUAGGCCGAAGGUCCGAAUCCUUCCACGCGCA
rnacentral:tRNA from 3 species